rnacentral:rRNA from 1 species
GACAUAGGUCGCAAACGUUAUCCGGAAUUACUGGGCGUAAAGCGCGCGUAGGCGGCUUUGCAAGUCGGGUGUGAAAUCCCCAGGCUCAACCUGGGAACUGCAUUCGAGACUGCAUUGCUAGAGUAUGGGAGAGGGAAGUGGAAUUUCCGGUGUAGCGGUGAAAUGCGUAGAUAUCGGAAGGAACAUCAGUGGCGAAAGCGACUUCCUGGACCAAUACUGACGCUCAUGUGCGAAAGCGUGGGGAGCAAACAGG